rnacentral:lncRNA from 1 species
GUCUACAUUCACCACGUACUGGGGUCACCUGCCUCUGAAGAAGAAGGCUUAGGGCACGGAGGUCAGCAGGCAGGUCCCUCCUUCCUGUCCUUCCUAGAGCCUCUAGAAUCUGUUCUCCACAUCUGAGAAUCUUUCCUGUGUUCCUCGUCAUCGCUGCUUCUGGAGAGCACGAGCAGGCGAGUGGGCCAGAUCAACUCUGCAGGGCUCCUUUCCUCGCGUCUAUGUGUCUGAAGUCAGAAUCCAAGAGAAUCACGCCUCCCCGCCACUUUCCAGACUGAACCAUUGACACAUAUGAGCAGAGCCCCUGGGUGUUGAUGGGGAGAAGAUGAAGCUUUGGUUGGGGAGAAAUGGAUAUCUGAAAUCGAUUGAGACAGAGAGCAGAGGAAGAGCUGUGGUUGGCCUGAACAGUCUUGAGUGUUGUUCAAAUGUUGCCAGCGGGUGUGAGCUGACACUUCUAGGAAUUCCACUGGCCGAGGAUCCCAGAGCACAGGAAGUUUUGAGAGUCAGAAUUUACUGACAUUGCCUGGUCAAAACUGAACACGAAUCUUCAUGCCUUGAGAUGCAGCAAUGGAAAAUCAAUCUGAGUGUCAUCCCCUCAGAGGAUAUCCCCUGAAGAUGGCUGGAAACGGUGGAUUUGUCACCCAACUUUCUUCCCUUCACUGAUCAAUUGGAAUUUCUUCCACGGGCCUGAGCCCCAGUGUUAUCUCACUGUCUGAAUCCAGGCAGGCCUUGCACUGACUUGCCAAGUAUCCAUCACUUUGUCUUCCUGUCAUUGGCUGAUCUGAUCUCUGCA